rnacentral:rRNA from 1 species
AUUGAACGCUGGCGGCAUGCCUUACACAUGCAAGUCGAACGGCAGCACGGGAGCAAUCCUGGUGGCGAGUGGCGAACGGGUGAGUAAUAUAUCGGAACGUGCCCAGUCGUGGGGAUAACGUAGCGAAAGCUACGCUAAUACCGCAUACGAUCUAUGGAUGAAAGCGGGGGAUCGCAAGACCUCGCGCGAUUGGAGCGGCCGAUAUCAGAUUAGGUAGUUGGUGAGGUAAAGGCUCACCAAGCCGACGAUCUGUAGCUGGUCUGAGAGGACGACCAGCCACACUGGGACUGAGACACGGCCCAGACUCCUACGGGAGGCAGCAGUGGGGAAUUUUGGACAAUGGGCGCAAGCCUGAUCCAGCAAUGCCGCGUGCAGGAUGAAGGCCUUCGAGUUGUAAACUGCUUUUGUUACGGAACGAAACGGUAGAGACUCUAAUACAGUUUGCUAAUGACGUACCGUAAGAAUAAG